rnacentral:rRNA from 1 species
AACGAACGCUGGCGGCAGGCCUAACACAUGCAAGUCGAACGCCGUAGCAAUACGGAGUGGCAGACGGGUGAGUAACACGUGGGAACGUACCCUUCGGUUCGGGAUAACUCAGGGAAACCUUGAGCUAAUACCGGAUACGUCCGAGAGGAGAAAGAUUUAUCGCCGAGGGAUCGGCCCGCGUCUGAUUAGCUUGUUGGUGAGGUAACGGCUCACCAAGGCGACGAUCAGUAGCUGGCUGAGAGGAUGAUCAGCCACAUUGGGACUGAGACACGGCCCAAACUCCUACGGGAGGCAGCAGUGGGGAAUAUUGGACAA